UGAAACGCCACUAAUUGAUAUUCCUCCAUACUGACUGCAUGACAACAAAUCUCGACAGAAAGGCAAUAAAAAGAAACAUUUCACCCAGUGUGAAAUGGAAGUUCUUGUAGGGGAGGAUGAAGAAAGAAAAUAGAAAGAAAGAAAGAAACACCGGAUGAUCCAGUCUGCGUGUUCCAGUGGGGUCGGUGGUGGAGCAGGAGUUGAGUGCCCCCAGCCCCGGCGUCUCCACUGCACCUUGUGAGUCACUACCCUCCAGCGGCCGUGUCCUCACAGAUGCAGUCCUGCAAACGCAGAGACACCAUCAACGCUAUUAACUUUGUUUGUGCUGGCGCUUCUCUGUAAAGCUGGGCCCACUACAACACAGAUCCAAGAGAACAGCUCUUGGUAAUGGGAACCAGCUCAUAAGCCACUCCUUAUCAUUGGCCAGUAGAUCUUGCUGGUCUCUGAUAAGUCGCUCUCGCCAAAUCAUUUCAUAACAUGCAUGUAUUGUUUAAUAAUUACAGAUCCAAUUAAAAGAUUCCCGAUUAAA